UACGGAGGAUCCAAGCGUUAUCCGGAAUCAUUGGGUUUAAAGGGUCCGUAGGCGGUUUAGUAAGUCAGUGGUGAAAGCCCAUCGCUCAACGGUGGAACGGCCAUUGAUACUGCUAGACUUGAAUUAUUAGGAAGUAACUAGAAUAUGUAGUGUAGCGGUGAAAUGCUUAGAGAUUACAUGGAAUACCAAUUGCGAAGGCAGGUUACUACUAAUGGAUUGACGCUGAUGGACGAAAGCGUGGGGAGCAAACAGG
rnacentral:rRNA from 1 species